rnacentral:rRNA from 1 species
AACGAACGCUGGCGGCAUGCCUAACACAUGCAAGUCGAACGAGACCUUCGGGUCUAGUGGCGCACGGGUGCGUAACGCGUGGGAACCUGCCCUUAGGUUCGGAAUAACUCCCCGAAAGGGGUGCUAAUACCGGAUAAUGUCUUCGGACCAAAGAUUUAUCGCCUUUGGAUGGGCCCGCGUUGGAUUAGCUAGUUGGUAGGGUAAAAGCCUACCAAGGCGACGAUCCAUAGCUGGUCUGAGAGGAUGAUCAGCCACACUGGGACUGAGACACGGCCCAGACUACUACGGGAGGGAGGAGUGGGGAAUAUAGGAAAAGGGGGGAAAGCCUGAAAAAGCAAUGCCGGGUGAGUGAUGAAGGCAUUAGGGUUGUAAAGCUAUUUUACCCGGGAUGAUAAUGACAGUACCGGGAGAAUAAGCUCCGGCUAACUCCGUG